rnacentral:rRNA from 1 species
CUACGGGAGGCAGCAGUGGGGAAUCUUAGACAAUGGGGGAAACCCUGAUCUAGCCAUGCCGCGUGAGUGAUGAAGGCCCUAGGGUCGUAAAGCUCUUUCGCCAGGGAUGAUAAUGACAGUACCUGGUAAAGAAACCCCGGCUAACUCCGUGCCAGCAGCCGCGGUAAUACGGAGGGGGUUAGCGUUGUUCGGAAUUACUGGGCGUAAAGCGCGCGUAGGCGGACUAGAAAGUUGGGGGUGAAAUCCCGGGGCUCAACCCCGGAACUGCCUCCAAAACUACUAGUCUAGAGUUCGAGAGAGGUGAGUGGAAUUCCGAGUGUAGAGGUGAAAUUCGUAGAUAUUCGGAGGAACACCAGUGGCGAAGGCGGCUCACUGGCUCGAUACUGACGCUGAGGUGCGAAAGUGUGGGGAGCAAACAGGAUUAGAUACCCUGGUAGUCCACACCGUAAACGAUGAAUGCCAGUCGUCGGGGCGCUUGCGCUUCGGUGACACACCUAACGGAUUAAGCAUUCCGCCUGGGGAGUACGGUCGCAAGAUUAAAACUCAAAGGAAUUGACGGA